UAAUAAGUGUUUUAUGGCACUUUUUAAAUCCAUAUCCACCUUGUGUGCAAUGUCGGUCGAUCUUCUUUUUUUGAGGAUCGACCAAACAUCAACCUUUAUUUUUCAACUUCUGUCUGAAAACUAUUAUGAAUAAACAAUUCAAAAUA
rnacentral:misc_RNA from 1 species